rnacentral:rRNA from 1 species
ACUCAAAGGAAUUGACGGGGACCCGCACAAGCGGUGGAACAUGUGGUUCAAUUCGAUGCUACGCGAAAAACCUCACCAAGGCUUGACAUGCAAGAAGUAGUGAACUGAAAGGGGAUCGACCUGUUAAGUCAGGAGCUUGCACAGGUGCUGCAUGGCUGUCGUCAGCUCGUGUCGUGAGAUGUUGGGUUAAGUCCCGCAACGAGCGCAACCAUUAUCCUUUGUUGCUAUCUUAUUUCCAGCUUGCUGGAGGUAGGAGCACUCUAAGGAGACUGCCCGGGAUAACCGGGAGGAAGGUGGAGAUGACGUCAAGUCAGUACGGCCUUUAUGCCUUGGGCUACACACGUGUUACAAUGGUCAUGACAGAGGGUUGCCAACCCGCGAGGGGGAGCUAAUCUCAAAAACGUGGCCUCAGUUCAGAUUGAAGUCUGCAAUCCGACUUCAUGAAGCUGGAAUCGCUAGUAAUGGCAGAUCAGCACGCUGCCGUGAAUACGUUCCCGGGUCUUGCACACACCGCCCGU